UACGAAGGGGGCUAGCGUUGUUCGGAAUUACUGGGCGUAAAGCGCGUGUAGGCGGGUCUUUAAGUCAGGGGUGAAAUGCCAAGGCUCAACCUUGGAACUGCCUUUUAUACUGGAGACCUUGAGUCCGGGAGAGGUGAGUGGAAUUGCGAGUGUAGAGGUGAAAUUCGUAGAUAUUCGCAAGAACACCAGUGGCGAAGGCGGCUCACUGGCCCGGAACUGACGCUGAGACGCGAAAGCGUGGGGAGCAAACAGG
rnacentral:rRNA from 1 species